GGUGACGUAGCGUGUUUCUGUGAGGGGAAAAGCAGUCGGCCUAUUCCGGUUAUCUCCAGUUAGCCACGGUGUGAGCUUAUAGCGACGGGUAGGAGCUUCAGACGCUGAAAAAGCCUAGUCUUAUUUAUAUUUUUGACGGAUAUACACUGUUUAUCAAGGUUCUACAAUGAGGGCUGAGGAUAAGCUUGAAGCCCAGCAGAGUCAUCUCAGUGAGGGAAUGCGGCUCAUUUUCAAUCAGGAAUCCUCCAUGACGCCCAGAUCUUCACGGUCAAGCAGUCACCGCAGCAGCAGCAGCAGCAGCAGUAGUAGCAGCAGCAGCAGCAGCAGCAGUGACCGUUCUUCCUCCAGCAGUGAUAGAAGCCGAUCCCACUCUGUGUCACGCAGGUCACGGAGACGUCACCGACAUGGAUCACGCUACUCUUCAUCAUCUAGCAGCAGCUCUCGAUCCCGUUCUCGUUCUCAUCCACGCUGCUGCCGAGCUUCAGAACACUCCCGCUGUCGCCAUCGUCGUCGAUCUCGCUCUUACAGCCCCUAUCCCAAGCACUCGUACCGCUACGGCCGACAGAGAUACUCGCGCUCCAUCAGCCGAUCUUCUUCCCGAGAACGUUAUUACAGGAGGUCAAGGAGAUCCCGUUCUCGUUCCUCAGGCUAUAGGAGAACGAGAGGCGCUUACAACGGCAGGUUCAGGUACCGGUUCUCUCCCUCACCUUUGAGGAGAUCCUACGGCCCCAGGUCAAAAUCUCCGGACUGCUCCUUAAGGCUUAGUCAGAAAGACAAAAUGGAGCUUCUUAACAUUGCCAGAGAGAAUGCAGCGAAGAUCCUGGGAGUAGAAGUAGUGAAGCUGCCAGCCAGCGUGAAGUGUAUCGAGGAACAAAUGAAAAAGGCCCUAACAUCUGACACUGAGAAAAGGGUGAGAGCAGACCCAGUGCCGGUGAAGAGACCAUCACAGGUGAGUGUUACUCAUGCAAGCGUAUUCUUCCUCAUCAGGUGGGAUCAGUGACGCACUGCAGUGUUUGUCUCUUUUCUAUAACGUGAAAAGAGCCUUCACUUUUCUAGAUUAACUGUUCUGAUUAAAACUGUUAAAAGUAUAUAGGCCUCUACAUCGCAACCACCUGAAAGGGGCUGUUAGUUGGCAAGUCUUUUUUUUUUGUGGUUCUGUGGUAAAGCAAAUGGGGUCAUUGUGUAAAUUAUCUCCUCAGACGUGAUUGUUUUUGGCCGAUGGAUGUUAUGGAAUCGUGAUGAAGACAAAAAAAUAUAGACCACCAACACCUACAUACUGUCUUGUCUGGAUUAGAUCACAUGACAGUGGUCUGCACUCCUCCACCCUUGGGAGUAGGAGAAAGAUGGGGAAAACUUUUCACUUGAGAGACGCCAUUUUUCAAGACGGUUUAAAAUCUUGUAAUGUGCAAAAGGUCAAGUAAUGCCAGUGCAAAUAUCGUUAGUCCCAGACAUUCCUCAUGUACUAUCAUGACAUGCCUUUAAUCAUAUUUCAUAGUAUUCAUGGUACAAGGCAGGUCAGAACACAUACCUCUACCACUAGGACUGUAAUGUACACUUCUUGAUGGUUGAACUAGGUGCGUUGUUAUUCACCAGAGUCUUUCUUGGUUCUGUGUGUCUGAAGAACCUCAGGCGUACGGACUGGCUUUUAGAGGGCCUUAAAUCAGAAGAAACCCUCCUUUACCAAAGACAAGUCUGCGCACAGAGCGCUGGAUGGGGUUUGGAAAAAAAAAAUACAUUCACUGCAUCUUUUAUUUAGGAUUCUUUGUUUUAUUUUAUGAACUUUGAUGCAUUUUGUUUACUUUCUCUCUGACUACAGCACCAGCGUUUGGAAGAGAUGGGUAGAAAACAUAUGCACUACAAUUACAAAGUCACUCUAAGUAGAACCUUGGUUUUCUCGUUUCUUCGUGCAUGUAAAAUGUUUUGUUUAAGGAUUAAGAGUUGUUAAUUAUAUCACUGUUGAUUUAAUUGUCUCUUCUUUUCAUUUCUUUAGGAUGAAGGUGAGGUAAAUGAAGAUGUGGAGAUUUCUACAACGUCUCCUGCAAGAAGACCAAUUAGCUUCAGUAUCAGUAACGUUGUUGCCAAGCCAUCAAGGAGUCCAACACUUCAUGGUACGGAGAGUAAGGUAACGUCCAGAGCAGACAGUGUGGGGAACGGGAUGCCGUAUGGAAAGUGGAUCCCUGUCAAGAAGGUUUCCACUAAAAAGCGCUG